GAGCAGAGUGAGAGAUUGCCUUGUCUUCUGCUGCUCCCACAGUAUAAUCAAGGAAUCAAGCUAAAUUAAUGGAAAUGCCAUCUUCCUGUGACAGCAGGAAUUUUCCAAAAUGUAUGAAAGAUGUCAACCCAGGUAGUGGCUACAGAGUGUGAUGUGAUAAUGGUGAUGACUGAGGUGCAUCUAUUGCAUGAAGAAGCAAAGACGGAAGCAGAGUCCUUAAAGGAAUGAGGAAACACAUACUACGUGUGCACCUCUGAUCCUGCUGGGAUGAAACCUGAAGUUUGGUCCAUAAUCACAAGGAACAAAAUCAUCUCACACCUGGGGUCUUGGAAACAAUGACUCUGUAAGGCUUUUGCAUAUAGCUUGGCCCAGAUCAUAGGCACAAUUAUCAUUUUCAAUUACUCCAUCAGCCAAGCAUCCUUGGGCAGUGAACAAAUUGAACAACCAUACUGGGUGGAAGCAUUUUACUCUCUCCAGAGUCUUUUCUUGCUGAUGCUCUUGCUGUGUGCAC
ensembl:lncRNA